GUGAUUGCCUAUUUGCCUCAUUUGAAUUUGGAGACUUGGUCCACUUGGAGUUGCUCUGUUGCGAUUGCGAAUUUGGAGACUUGGUCCACUUGGAGUUGCUCUGUUGCAAUUGCGAAUUUGGAGACUUAGAGACUUGGAGUUGCUAUUACUCUGCUGCUCACUUGCUCUGUUGCUGAACAUAUUGAACUGAAGUACUAAGAUUCUAAGACUACUAGUGGAGUAGUGGGAUUGGUCCAUACCGUCCAUUGGAUUUAGAAUUUAACUUUAGGAAGUCUAAUAGUUUUUUAAGUAUAAAACAUAACAAUUUCAUUUCACACCCUCCUGAAAUAUAUUUUUUUAGGUUUAACCCCUGAAAUUUCAGUGGGGUCAGGUGCCCCCCUGCCCCAGGCGUGGAUCCGCCCCUGGAUGGAGAGAACCAAAAUCUCUCUCGACACUGCAAAGGAGGAGGUGAAUUGAGAGAUCGACACCGGUAAGGAGGAGGUUGGUUUUGUUGUGUGGAUGUGGGUAUUCAGAUUAACGAUUGGAUAAACAGUAUAAUAUCAAUGUAUAAAGCACAUUUUUGUAAGUAUUUUAAUGAGGAAGGUGAAGAGUAUUGAACCGUUUUGACAGAGGUUACAAAGAAACUAGAAGCGAAAGAGGAAGAGGAGGGAAGUGGAAGAGGAGGUGAAAAUCCGAAAAGACUCAACGAUUAAUUUUGCAAGCCAACUGAGUUAUCAACCAAGACAACUGAGUGAUUUUUCCAUUUGGAAGGAUCACUUACGUGUUUUUAUAUAUAGGUAUUGAUGUGGGAGGUUUAGAAUCAUUGAUCAUUAUAGUAAAAUAAAAUAAAACAAAGAAUAGAAAGAAAAGAAAAUAACUAAGAAAUAUUUUUGUAGUUCUGAUUAACCUUUACCAACCACUUAAAUAUAGGUGGUUUUUUAUCUAGUAACUUUUGAGCUUAGCUCUUAUUUAAUUUUCCCAACUGAUUAAUUAUGUCAUUGCCACUAGAAAAUCAGAAAAGAAAGAUUAAAAUAAUAAAAACAAACAAUCUCCAAGCUCGUAACUUUUGUGAACCCUAGUUGCUCACCCAAUGAACCCAUUGUGAGAUAAUUUUUGCACAGAUAUAGUACUCCCAUUGUCCAAUACAAGCUCUUUUUUUAGAAUCUGCGUCAUAAUUUUUAGGACAUUCCGAAAUCAUAUUUAGGUAUUAUAUAUUUUAAUGUAUACAAAUGUUAUAUAUUUAAUUAUAUUUUAAAUAUAUACUAUUCAAAUAUACUUUUGUCAUGUCUAGAAAUCUGUGCACCACACUCUAAAAAAAGGAGUUGCUAAUAAUGUGGAGCGGAGAGUAUAAAAUUUGCAUCAAAACAUAAUCCUUUAGGAAUAUAGAACACAAUUGUCUGAAUCCAUAUGAACAUGUUACAAUAAGAAAAGGUAAUCACUGCACAGGUUUACAAAUGUUGCAAGAUAUUUUACAAAGUAAUUUAGCAAGUAAAUUUUUAGAGUAAUUUAAAAAAUAAAUUGGAAAUUGAAUGCAUGAAAUUUACUAAAGCUUUUGAUAGAAUACAUCCAAUAGGCUAUUGAGUUUGAGCAUACCAGUGUUUGGCCUCUCAAACCCUGUAACUAAUUGGAGAAAACGCUUUAAUACAAGAUGGCAGGAAGUGAGGCCUUAGGUUUUGAUGGGGACGGGAGUUUUGGGACAAAGGGUUAAUAUCACACACAUAAUUCUCACGCAAAACUCAAUCAAUUAAUCAUUCAAUAUAUCAAAAUAAUGAAAUACAUCACUAUUUAUAACACUCCUACACAACUUUCCUAACCUAACUUGAACUCUAAUAAGAUAACUACAAAUAAAAGAAACUAAUUAAAAUACAACUUCUAUUUCAUAGGCUUCCAAAGUCUCUUUAUAUUGUUCCAACCAACUUUCACGGGCUCAUCCUACAUCAUUUCUCCUCCGCUGAAAAAAACACGACUCCGUCGAGUUAUGAACAUCAACACAAGAACAAUCACGUCGAAUCACAAAGGAAGUCUUCGUAAGCUUCAAAUUUGGCAUGUCAAGAGCGCAUGUAAGAGUGAAUCUGGUAUUGCCUUUGAUAAUCGAAUAGAUAUUAGCAUGAACAUCAUGUUGCGCAUGACGAUCCUAUAGCCAUUUACGCCCCAAGAUAAUGUGACAAACUUUUAGGGGUAGAACAUCAUACUUAACGGUAUCCUUAAAUUUGCCAACGGAAAAUGUAACCAUACACCUCUGGGUAACCCGCAACUUUGUAUUGGUAAUCCAUGCAACAUCAUACGGCUCUGGGUGAGGUUCAACUUUUAACCCAAGUUUCUUAACUGCUUCCUCAGAAAUAACAUCCGUACAACUCCCAGUAUCAAUCACAAGAGAGCACACCUGUCCCGCACAUAUGACUCUCAUCUGAAAAAUUCGCCCACGAUGAAUUUUAGAAUCAUCCUUUUGUUGUUAGGCAACAAGUAAAGGUCGAAGAACACCUAAGCAUCAUUCCAAAUGAGCAUCAGCUUCUAAAUCUUGCUCAUCGAGCUUAUAUUCGCCGUCUAUCAGCUUGCAAACCUCCUCGUUUAAGUCGGUUUUUCCGCACGUUUUGUCAACAAUAGCAAGUUACCUAGAGGGAGAAUAGGAAACAUUCAUCUUUGGGGAAGGACACUCAAAAGAUGUGACCAAAACCAUGACAGUUAUAGCACCUAUAUGAAUUGUUGUUGCUAGCAUUAGAAGAACUUAGGGUACGGUUAGGCCUGCUAGUAGUUGGAGGACUUGUUGACGAUCUUUCCAUUGACCUAUUUAAAACAGGCUCCACAAAAGUACGCUCCCUCCGAGUUUGGACUUGUAUUGGAGGUCUAACAUAAUUUCUUUACAAAUUAUCCUCUAUUUGGGUGGCAACUUGAACAGCAUCAUCAAAAAGCAAAAGUUUACCUGUAGCUACACCACCUGCAAUCUCUAGAUUCAAUCCACGACGGUACAUGGAGAUUAAAACUUCUUCGACUCAAGGAAAUUCAGACCGUGUAACCAAACUAUAGAACAUUGAAAUAUACUCGGCUACAGAUUUACUUCCUUGUACCAAUUCAGUUAACUGCAAAUAUGUUGCUUAUAAUCCGAAGGUACAAAACGUUGUGUCAUUGCAGCUUUCAUAUCCUCCCAUCUUCUCGCAACUGUAUACAAAUUUCGUUGAUGUUGAUCCCACCAAAUCCGAGCUGUUCCUUUCAACUUCGCUUCAGCAAAGAAAAAUUUUCUUUCGUCGGAUAAUUCAUACCAAUGAAAGAAGUUCUCCAAACUAUGAAUCCAAUCGAAGAAUAUCUCGGGACCAUUAUCGCAAUUGAAAUCUCCAACAUCUAAUUUUGCUCCUCUAUCCACUGCAUUCAUCCUAGGAUCUGGAGCAUUAACUCGUGGAUUAGGGUCAUGCUGUUGUAGUCUCCGAUGAUGAAGAUCCGGAAUGGAGUCUUCAAAAUUCUUAAGAGCAUCUUCUUGUCCCUUAUCUACGAGUUCCGUGAGUACAUCAACUUUUACUGUAAGUGUUGUAAUAGAGGCCUGAACAUUUGCAAUUAGUGUUGUGAUUGAAUCUUCAAUUAUCAAUCCACCAUUAACCAUAGUUCCUGUGAAUACAAAUAUAAACUAUUUUUUUUUCUAGGGACUCAAGUGCAGGAGAUGUAAAAAAAACAAAACAGGGGCUGAACUGAAACUGUUGAAACUUUAGGGGAUGAAAUAAAAGAAAGUGAAACUAUAGGGGCUGAUAUGUAAAAUUUCAGGGGCUAUUUUGAAAUUUAAGAAAACUCUGGGAACUAAACUAAAAAAUUAUAAAAACUAUGAGGUACCUAACUCUAAUUAUCCAGAAGAUAUUUUUCCAAAAACAGAGACGGAAGGAAGACAACUUCACAGAGAGACGAAAAAGAGAGGGAAAAAAAAAUAAAACCCUUAAAGGUAAUAUAAGGCUGCAAGAGGAGGAGGCGGCAGCAAGAGGAGGCGGAGCCCGGCCGAUCUAAUCCUACUUCUUCUCCUUUUUUAUUCUUUUUAUUUUUGUUUUGGAACAGCAAAGAGUGUGCUGAGUAUAGGUUUUGACAAUGUGUUUGGGAUAAUACUUGGCCUGGUUAAUAGAUUGAGUAGAUUGAUACGGCUUGGUUUUGUAUUCAAGGCAGAGGUGUUGAUGAUGAUGGGACAAUGAAUUUGGGACAGAGGCUGGGGUGGCAGAAGGUGGUUUUGAGAUUUUGGCUCUGAUACCAAAAUGAUGGGGACGGGGGUUUUGGGACAAAGGGUUAAUAUCACACACAUAAUUCUCACGCAAAACUCAAUCAAUUAAUCAUUCAAUAUAUCAAAAUAAUGAAGUACUAUACAUCACUAUUUAUAACACUCCUACACAACUUUCCUAACCUAACUUGAACUCUAGUAAGAUAACUACAAAUAAAAGAAAUUAAUUAAAAUACAACUUCUAUUUCAUAGGCUUCCAAAGUCUCUUAUAUAUUGUUCUAACCAAGUUUCACGGGCUCGUCCUACAUCAGGUUUGGCAUUAUACCAUAUGGGGAUUUGAGUACUUGAGACUGGACACAAAUCGAAGCAGGCUAACAUUAGGGAAAAUGAAAUUUUGUUACCUCUAGAAUUCAGCAUAAUACACUUUAAGUCAUGAAGAGAUCCCAGGCCAAACUUAGCAAGACUAAAUAAAGAGCAGCCAACAGUAAGAAAACUGCAACUUUCAUUCCAAUAAACACCUGUGCAUUAUCACAAAUAAUUAGCCAAGAAAAAUAUGGAUAUAAUGCAAUACCAAUAUAUCAAAAGUUGUAUACAGAUGAAUACGCAUGGAAUGCGGAGCUCAUGUGAAGUCUGGAAUCCCUUAAUAGGGCCAAUAUCAAGAUCCAAAGCAAGAGCAUUCAUUGGAAAAGAUGAGCAUUAAAAUACAAAACAAAGUCACUAUCGAAAUGUUCAAUGCAAUGCAUGUUAACCUUGACACAAGUUAGAUGGUAUUGCACGUUUAUCUUAGUCCAAGAAAAAAGUAACUGAAGUCCAUGAAUUCCAGUUUGGAGUCCGUCAUUCAAAAAGAACAAAUAAAAUUACGUAACUCUAAACCAUCUUGUUUGUUGCCUAACACUCUUCCUUACAUGUUGAAAAGAUUUUGCUAACUGAAUAUUAUUAGAAGAGGGAAAGUAAAGACCAGGCCUAAGUAAAUAUGUAAGAGAUUCCACUGCUUGCAGAAACUUUCUUUCAUCUGACCACCAUGAAGGCAUGAACAUGAUAAUGUACUGGUCAAGAUUUUUUGUAAGCUUUAGAAUUCAAUGAACCAAUUUUCAUAUUUCAAAACAACCCCAGAAGGUUAUGUUAUAAACAAAUGGAUUAGUAAAUAUAUAUGGAGCUCUAGCUGCCUUCUUGUCUGUUACACUCACUUGAUUUUAGAGCUAUGUUAUUCGCAUUCGAAUCGAGUGUCUGGUUGGAUGAGGUAGUUUGAAGUGUCCGACAUGGGACUCCCAAUUUUGCCAAUUUUUUACACUAAAAUGAAGUGUCCAGUACCCACACCCUUGUCCAAGUGUCGAGUGUCGGACGCGGGUACUUUAUGGAAAGUGAAGAGUUUAUGUUACAUAGUGUUAGAGCAAAAAACGAAUAAAAGUACAACAUGAUAAGAUAGACAAUAUGAAAUUCCUGAAAGGAAAGAUCUUGACAUCCUUAGAUUUACCAAGACCUUUAUAUGUUAUAUGAAGCACAAUCUCAAAAAGAAAAGGCUUUAGACCCAAUCCUCCACCACAAUUAAUCCCAAAAAAAUAUGUCCGCAACCUCUUGCAACUGAGGAAUAAUUAACAAAUCACCACUCCUUCCUUUUUCUACUGUUAUACUUCUUUUUCUAGAUUGAGAUAGAGCAAUAUCCAAUAUUCCUACUCCCUCCUUCCGAAAUUGAGAGUCCAACUUUCAUUUUCAGGAUGUUCAGAAACUAGAGUCCACAUUCCUAAUAAAUGCACCAAAUCACAUUAUAUUUAAGAGGUUUUAAUCUUAACCAUUUAUUAUACUUAGCAAAUUUCCUGAAAAAGUUUGACUUCCUAGGUGGACUCUUAUUUGGACAGAGGGAGUACAAUGUAAGAAUUCUCAAUCACAUGUUAGCAGUAGUUGGAGAAGUGUCAGAUCAAGGAUUGAAAAUUAUGUAUGUCAAGUUAUAAACUAAUGUCUUUGUCUUCCUUGUGUUUAGUAAGAUUCCCUUCCUUGUAGGAGUUGGUACUUCUUACCUGAUAAUUGCUUUUAGGAUAUAAUAUGGUUGCAUAAUUACAUAACUGAAAGAGUUCAAAUAACGGCUUGGACUAGAACAUAACUGAUAAUGGAAUUGUUUUAUAUAUAUAAAUGCUGCCGUCAUGUACAACAGACUAUUAGAUUAGGUCAAAGGUAGCAGCUUUUCAUACUGCAAGAGGAUGCUCCAGAAAUGAUGCUACAGCUUAAUCACCAGGUUUAUGUAUCGAUAACAAAAACUGAUCAGCAGCAACGCUAAUACCGUAUUUCAGCAGUAUUUGUUGCACCUUGAAAGCUGCAGUUUCAAAAGGAUUCUGAACCCAUUUUUUCUCGUAGCCAAGAAUGAGUGCCUGGUAAGUAACAUCGUUUGGAACUAUACCAUGUUUAACCAUCAUAUUAACCAACUGGCACGCAUCAUCAACACUGCCUACACUACAAAAUCCAUGUAUAAGUGUGUUAUACAACAUCAGAUCUGUAACCAAACCUAUACCAAGCAUCUUAUUAAAAAGAGCAUUAGCCUCUUCCAUACAACAUGCCCUACAGUACCCAUUAAGAAGGGCACUGCACAUCACAACAUCAGGCUUCAUAUGGUGCUGACUCAUGUAAAACCACACAAGCAAUGCCUCUUCAAAGUUUCCAUCCUUGAGUACCCGCUGAUGAUAUCAGUAAACGUUACAACAUCGGGAGAAAACCCCCUUCUCAUGAGCUCAUCCAGCAUAUCUUUAGCUUCAGUCACAAAUCCUAGAAGGAUAAGACUGUGAAUGAUAGUAUUAUAAGUCACCACAUCAGGAGAUAUACCAGCUGAUUUCAUCAUAUCUAAGAUAGCAAAAGCUUUAUGUAAGUUGCCCUUCUUUCCAUACCCAUUAAUUAAGGUGUUGUACAUAGUAAUAUCAGGUGCCAAACCCACCUUUAUCAUAUUGUUAUAUAAAUGUUCUGCUGUAUACACAUCUCCAGACUUGCAAUAACCAUCAAUCAUAAUGGUGUAGGUAGUAACAGAUGCUUUAAUUCCCCUCUUCAACAUCUUCCCCAAAAAGAUAAGGGCAUUAUUGACAUCCUUCACUUUGCAUAUCCUCCGAUGAUAGUGGUGUGACUACAACAAUUAGGAAGUAAACUCUAUCAUCUCUUGGAAAAUGUUAGACGCUGCAGCCAUGUUACCAUCUGUACACAAUUUGGAAAUGAAGCUGUUGUAGAUGUAAAUAUUAGGGGGAAGACUAAAUAUCUUCAAAAUAUCAAUUGCUUUAUUGGAAUAACCCAUUUUGCAGAGCCCAUAAAUCAGACAACUAACAGAUACCGAAUUAGGGGUGUUACCCAUCUGGCCCAUUUUUAAUAAUAAAGAGGUCGCCUCCUUUAAAAGACUAAUUUUACAGAGGGAAUUAAUCAAUAGUGUAUGCAACUACGUCGGGAUUAAUCCCAUAGUUUUUCAUUUCUAUCAUCAUCUUCCAACCACAUUCAAGAUUGCCUUCUCUACAGUAAUUGUGUAUAAAUAAGCUAAAAAUUGAAGUAUUAACGCACAGUCCCUGGCUUUGAAUCUCUUCCAGAAAAUCCCAUGCCAAGUUCAAUCUGUUUCGAUUGUAAUAAUGCUCUAAUAAGUGAAUUGCAAACCCCUAAAGAUGGAAAGAAAUUAUAAUGUUUCAUUUGACAAGUUAAUUUCAGAGCCAUAUUUGUCAUAUUUUCCUUAACAUAGCAGUCAACAAUCAUGCUAUAUGCAGUUCCCAAAGUGUUUCUCUCAGUAUGGGUUUCAUGAAGGGCUUCCAAAAUCAGUCUCGCUGCAACUAUUUUUUUCAUAGCCUAAAUUCCAACCGUGUGUCUUAAGAAUAAAUUUAAUUCUUCUCAACUUAUCUGCAUCCUCAGCUUUCAGAUGAAAUCCAUACAUGGAAUAAUUCUUGUCAUUUACAAACUGAAAUACAUUAUUCCCACGAAGACCAAGAGAAGUCUUAUCAUGUGAUUCUGUAGAUUCAGCUGAAAUGCAUGUCACUUGGGAGAACAUCCUGACCAUGUUCAUUAUCAUCCACCCCAACACAAUCAUCACAGAAAGAGACCUGAUUGUCCUUGAAAUAUGAGGAACGUAGUUCUAAUAAGGCAAGAGACGAAAAAAUCCUAAAUGGUUUAAUCUUCCUAUCAAAUAUCAGCUUGGAUCCAGAACAACAAGCUUUGAUAACUGAAAUCAAUGCCUUCGUGAAAAGUUAUCCGGAUACUAGCAGGAAUAGAUGCCGUACACCAAGAAAAAUGAAAAAUUGCCAGUGUUAAAAGGGGGAAAUAUAUCUGAGCAUAUGAAAUGGGCCUCGGCACAUAUAAUGUAGAAAUUUGCUCAAAUUAUAAAAUACAAAAGUUAGAGCGCAUUGAGACGGCGGCUCUAUACUUCACAAACUGCUGGCAAGUACUAUUCUGGAAACAAAAACAGAAUCACAAGAUAUUUCAAUGUCUUUUGCUUCACUAAAGCAAUCAUUUUGUCAUUUUGCCUACAGAAAUCCCAAAACAGGAAAUAGUUACUUCUAAAUAGAAAAAUAAGAACAAAGUUGUAGUAAAUUACUUUAAGCCUUAAUAUACAAUAAAAGUUAACAUGGGUUAUCAAUAUACUUGUAUCUUUGAGGCCCAAACAUACAUAAAUAUAUGCAUUCUACAAACUCCAUUUAUAAUUAAAGAAAAAUGACAAAUGGAGUAAUGAUAUGGAAGAGAGAAUUAUACCUCUGACAAUGGAAGGAACCUUGAUAUGCUCCCCAUCGCUUCUGCUGCUGAGAAAAGCAGCAUUUUUCAUGGGACCUUCAUUAUCAAUACUCCUUCUUCUGCGUCAAGAAAAAAACAGCAUUUCGAAAGCAGAUUAUACAGAAGAAAGAUAAUUUUCUGCCCAAAUAGAUGAAAAAAUCAAACUGGCCACAGCAAAAAAAUUUAAAAAACAAAUUGGGAACUGUUUUGGAUUUGGCUGCGCUACCAAAUCAGAGGGAUUUAGGGGUUUUACCGGUGGUGCUAAUGGAAGCAAGAAAGCUGGGUUUUUGUGGGGUUUUGCUGUUGUCAAUCACAAUUAGGAAGAGGUGGGUUUAGGAAUUGGAGGCGUUGAAACCAGCUGUAGUAGCUCUUGACAAAUGAGCGAGAAGACGGCUUAUGCACAAUGACA
rnacentral:lncRNA from 1 species